rnacentral:rRNA from 8 species
AACGACUCUCGGCAACGGAUAUCUCGGCUCUCGCAUCGAUGAAGAACGUAGCGAAAUGCGAUACUUGGUGUGAAUUGCAGAAUCCCGUGAACCAUCGAGUCUUUGAACGCAAGUUGCGCCCGAAGCCUUCCGGCCGAGGGCACGUCUGCCUGGGCGUCACGCAU